rnacentral:tRNA from 1 species
GGGUGAUAAGCACAUCUGGAUGUGCGCUCGGCUGUUAACCGAAAGGUAGCGGGUUCGAAUCCCGCAUCAUCCGCCA